rnacentral:rRNA from 1 species
AGAGUUUGAUCCUGGCUCAGGAUGAACGCUAGCUACAGGCUUAACACAUGCAAGUCGAGGGGAAACGAGUAUUGGAAGCUUGCUUCGAUAGGCGUCGACCGGCGCACGGGUGAGUAACGCGUAUCCAACCUGCCCACCACUUGGGGAUAACCUUGCGAAAGUAAGACUAAUACCCAAUGAUAUCUCUAGAAGACAUCUGAAAGAGAUUAAAGAUUUUAUCGGUGAUGGAUGGGGAUGCGUCUGAUUAGCUUGUUGGCGGGGUAACGGCCCACCAAGGCGACGAUCAGUAGGGGUUCUGAGAGGAAGGUCCCCCCACAUUGGAACUGAGACACGGUCCAAACUCCUACGGGAGGCAGCA